CCUACGGGUGGCAGCAGUGAGGAAUAUUGGUCAAUGGACGCAAGUCUGAACCAGCCAUGUCGCGUGCAGGAAGACGGCCCUACGAGUUGUAAACUGCUUUUGUACGAGGGUAAACGCAGACACGUGUACCUGUUUGAAAGUAUCGUAUGAAUAAGGAUCGGCUAACUCCGUGCCAGCAGCCGCGGUAAUACGGAGGAUUCGAGCGUUAUCCGGAUUUAUUGGGUUUAAAGGGUGCGUAGGCGGAAUGUAAAGUCAGCGGUAAAAUCGUGGGGCUCAACCUCGCUCCGCCGUUGAAACUGGCGGUCUUGAGUGGGCGAGAAGUAUGCGGAAUGCGUGGUGUAGCGGUGAAAUGCAUAGAUAUCACGAAGAACUCCGAUUGCGAAGGCAGCAUACCGGCGCCCAACUGACGCUGAGGCACGAAAGCGUGGGUAUCGAACAGGAUUAGAUACCCUUGUAGUC
rnacentral:rRNA from 1 species